CCUACGGGGGGCUGCAGUGGGGAAUAUUGGGCAAUGGGCGCAAGCCUGACCCAGCAACGCCGCGUGAGGGAAGAAGGUCUUCGGAUUGUAAACCUCUGUCCUUGGGGACGAAAAAAAUGACGGUACCCAAGGAGGAAGCUCCGGCUAACUACGUGCCAGCAGCCGCGGUAAUACGUAGGGAGCGAGCGUUGUCCGGAAUUACUGGGCGUAAAGGGUGCGUAGGCGGCGCUGCAAGUCAGAUGUGAAAUCCCCGGGCUUAACCCGGGAUCUGCAUUUGAAACUGCAGUGCUUGAGUGCAGGAGAGGAAAGCGGAAUUCCUAGUGUAGCGGUGAAAUGCGUAGAUAUUAGGAAGAACACCAGUGGCGAAGGCGGCUUUCUGGACUGUUACUGACGCUGAGGCACGAAAGCGUGGGGAGCAAACAGGAUUAGAUACCCCAGUAGUC
rnacentral:rRNA from 1 species